GUUUUAGUAAUUUAAAUAAAAUAUUGGUCUUGUAAAUCAAAAUUAAGAACUUCUUCUAAAACU
rnacentral:tRNA from 1 species